UUAACAGUUGCUCGUAACAGACUUGUGUCGUUCGUCGUCUUCGUUUUAGUUUAGUUUCGGAAUCGCGAUCGCGCGCGCUCCCUGUCUGAGUCACACGCGUAGACGGUCUUGUGAUAAGAGAAACCGUCGCACAACAACACACAGCAAAACAAGCGAGUCACGCGCAAUUAGCUCUAAAUUGCUCGAGCGAUCAAGUGGAUUUUUGUAUGAGUGUGUGUGUGUGUUGCAUAUCAUUAGCGACGCGAUGCAUCGUGUUUGACACACGAAUACAAUUUAUUGGAAAACGAAGUGCAGCUGAAGCAAGGUAGCAGCACCAGCAACUCAGUUCAGGAGGAAAAGUGUGUGUGUUCAAACGAAGAUGACCGACUUACCCGAGGUGGUAAUGCCUUGAGCCAAAGUCCGAAGAGAAGUGCAGCCGAAGACGAAGAAGACGGUGAAGAAGUGUUGUGUGCGAUGAUACAUCUGUGAUAACCUGGAAAAGGUGAAGCAAUGAGCUAAGAUUUCAACGCGGUACCUCUGCCCGAAAAAAAAAUAAACGGAAAAAGUGUGUUUCGAUUGUGUUCAGAGCAGUGUUCCCAACAGCAGUGUGCGCGGCAGAAGAGGAGCUAAAACGUUGGCUCUACCUCCUCGUCCGCAGCAGCCCCCGGCAACUCCUCCCUGUAGAGCUAUGAUAUCAGUGAAACGUUGCGCAGCUACCAAUCUCAGUGCAACUCCUCACCAUCAUCAUCAUCAGCAGCAGCACCACCACCACAACGGUCACCACGUGCCGGUCCAAGUACGCAGCCUCAGUGCAGGUCGCACCGCCGGAAAGUCCAACGGAACCACCGUCUCCGGCAGUACCGGCAGCAACAACAACAACCGGCUGAUCCGCAGCCGGAACAGUCCGUACCUCGGCGGGGGGUACUCUUCCGGUGGGAGCCCCGGAGGAGGACCGGCCAUCAUCGCGAACGGUGGCAGUUUGUACUACAGCAACAGCAGCGUGCUCGGGCCGACCAAGAGUCGCAGUGGGCUGUCCGAAGCGGGUAGUGACAUUUACGACGAGCUGGACAGUUUGUUUCUGGUGCCGAAAUGUGCGCUCACCUACGAUAAGGCGAUGAGCCUGCGGAAGGACCUGGCCGCGUACGACUUCAACAUCCGCAUCCUGGAGGAUACCCCGCGGGGGAACGUGUGGAUAUCUGGAAACAGGGAUGCAAGCGUACAAAAACAGACAAGGCCAUCUUCAGCCAAUAAAGACAGGCACCAACGUCCACAUUCUGUAAAUCAUACACUGCACUGGUUCGCCUGCGUGGGCGAGGACCUGGACAGUGCUACCCCCGCCACUGCUACUAAUGGUUAUGGGAACGAAGACGAGCUCCAGCGGGAACGCGAGGAGCGAAUAAAGCAAACGAAGGAGCGCCAGAAUGAGGAACGGCAGCGCAAACUAGAGGAACUCAAGGCACAAGCACUGGCGGCGCAAAAGUUCCGCGAGCAAAAAGAGGAGGAGCGCCGACGUCGGAUGGAGGACCUGCGGCGGCGGGAGAACGACCGGCGGUCACAGGUCGAGGAGCGGCGCCGCGCGAUACAGGAAGCGGAAAACGAACGCCGCCAGUACAUCCUGCAGAAGAACCAGGAGCGGGACCAGCGGAUGGACGCCAAGCGGCGCAACGAGCGCAGCUCGAUCCAGUUCGCGUUCGGGUCGAGCACGCCGCGCAUGAUCGAAACCAGCGACAGCGGCAUGUGCAGCUCGUUCUGGGCGCACCGGAGGGCCACCUCCAUCACGAACGUGGCGUACACGGGGGCACCGCUGACGCGCCGCAGUUCCGAGCGGGAACUGACCGACGGAAGCUCGAAAAAGCGUGCUACCUCCGCCAGCGGCCUGGACAGAUCGACCGACGACAUGAGACGCAUGUCCAGCUCGAUGUACGAGGUCUUCAACUGGGCCAGCUCCGGCGCCGAGUGCCCCAAGAAGUUGACCCUGUCGCUGGCCGGUGCCGGCAUCAACAUUGACGAGCCACCGUCCCGGGCGGAACGAGCGGCGGCGGCCGUCGCGGCCAGAAAGGACGAUUCGGCUGACAUGAGCUACCAGCGUACCGUGAAUCGUCGCAAAACCGAUCUUAUGCCCACCAUUCCUAGUCCUCGCGAUAGCUCUAGAUCAUCUCUCGGCACUCACACCCCCAGAACACCAGGUCGAGCCUUCUCGAUGACACGCUUGGACCAGCUGGCCCAGCCGCGGCGCCGUAACGGCGAACACAUCAGUGCAAUCCUGGAGCGCGAGCGCCGCCAGGCCCUGGAGCUGGAGAACAUGACGCGGCUGUCGCUGUCCUCGUCCCGGUCGUCCCCGACGGCGGACGGCAAGCGGAUGUCCCGCAGCAUGUCCCAGCUGGCGACGGCCGGCCACCACCACAGUGGCAAAUUCCGGUUCCACGACUCGUCGUCCUCGUCCGUCGGCGGCCGUGGUGCCCGCAAGUCCUCGUUCAACGCGCCGUCGUCCCACUCGGACUCGCCGAUGGGACGGGCGGACACCUCCAAGAGCAUGUCCCAGCUGAACACGGCCGGCCGGCACCACGCGUCCACGCGGCUCUCCAGAACCGAGCGCCUCCGCCAGCAGGUCCGGGAACAGCUGAACGGCUCCCACCAGACUUCCACGCUGGUUUCCACGACCGCAACAGGUUUGCGUUCCGGCGAAAUCACCCCGAACAGUCUGAACACGUCCCGGCCGGGCAGUGCCAUGUCCAGCUCGACGACCGCGUCCGGCGUCGUCUACCGGCGGUCCCUGCCGGCGUCCGCCGGAAGCCAGCGCAAGCCCCGCCCCAUCUCGAUCGCCGUCACCGGAGUGUCGGGCCUCGCGAAAGAAGAGAAACCGCCACUUCCGAAAUCGUCCACGGGUAACACCAGCUCGACCAGCCUGGAGCGCAAGCGAUCCCAGAGCGGCACCAGCACACCGGCCAAGCCGGCCGCUCCGGACACUCCGGCCCGCAAGCACUCGAGCGCCGAGCGGCCACAUCGCGUUGGCGGCGGCAGCAACAGUGCAAGCGCUCGCGGCACUCCGAAGGCGUCGUCCACGCCGCUGCAGUCACCGGGACCGGAAAAGGCCAACCGUACGCUGCACGAUUCGCUGGUCAAGACGGGCAAGAAGCAAGCCAGCCAGGAACAGCUGGCGACACCACUGCCCAAGGAGGGCUCCUCGGUCAGUGCCAAGAGCACCGACGAGAAGCCGGCUGAGGUCGUGGAACAGAAGCAAGAGGAACAGCUGACGGAGACCGUCACAACGGUGGAGAGCGUUGUCCAGGAGCAGCAGAUCAUUGUGACCGAAAGCAAGACGGAAGCGGAGGUCGUUGCCGAGCCGGAACCCGUUAAGGAACAACCCCAGCUGGUUGAACCGGACCAGGUGGCCAACAGUCACGAGGAGAAGAAAGAUGACAUGAAGGAUAGUACCGUGGCGCCGCCAAUGCCAGCUGCCGUCACCAACCUGCUCGACGCCCAGGACGGCUCCAACGGAGAUCUGAUGACGGCUUCGAUGAUCGCGAAGCGCAUCACCACCGAGGAGGAAGCCAAGGCUGCGCUGGCCGAGCGUCGUCGGCUGGCCCGCGAGGAAGCCGAACGUCAGGCCGAGCUGGAGCGUCAGCGCAUCGCCGCCGAAGAGGAAGCCGAAGCGCAGCGUCAGUACGAGGAGGAGGAGCGGCUGCGCAAGCUCGAGGAGGAAUCGAUCCGGCUGGCCGAGGAAGCCCGCCGCCUGGAGGAGGAACGUCUGCAGCAGGCCAUCGAGGAGGCGACCAAGCGCGAAGAGGAGGAAAAACUGCGCCGUGAAGAGGAAGCCCGCCAGAAGAUCGAGCGGGAAGAGUCGGAGCGAAAGGCCCGCGAGGAAGCGGAACGUCAGCGCAUCGAGAUGGCCGAACGACUUAAGAAGGAGGAGAAGGAGCGCGAGGAGCGACGGAAGCGGGUGGAGGCAAUCAUGUCGCGCACCCGGGCAAAGGGUGGCAGUGCGACGAACACGCCGACGAAGCAAUCCGACGAGAAGGAUAACGCCAUGAGCAAGAGCCACAUCGUCAUGUCCAGCACACCGGCCGUGACGGCCGACACGACCAUGUCGAUGACGGAAUCGAUGCUCGGAUCCGUAGACCAGCCUCAGCAGCAGCAGUCACAAGAGCAGGACCAGGCGCCCUCCUCCGGCGCGGAAUCGCUCGAGCAAGCCGUCCAGUCGCUCUCGCUGGAGAACAACAACAACACCAACAGCAACGCCACCAGCAACGGCAACCACAACAACAACAACGGCGACUACGAGCGCUCCGUAACGGAGAAGGAGAACCUGCUGCUCGGUGCGUUCAACAACAACGGCCACGACAACAACGGCUCGUCGGCCGGCAGCCAGCAGCCCUCGUCGCUCGAGUCGAGCUCGACCACGCCCGGUGCCACCACCAACGGCAAGUCGACGCCCGGCGCGACGACGAUCGCCGAAACGACGGAGCUGAUCAUCGAGGACGCGAUCAUGAGCGGCCAAACCAACGGCCACAAGAACGGCAGUAUUGAUAAUGUGUUAUUACGUGUGGCGGACAUUUAGAGAGUGAUGUUUUGGGGGUCGAAAAAACGAGUACAAAAUUUACAAAGAAAUUUCCACGAGACACAAUGAUGAGGUACUAGAGAGACACAACUACACGCACACAGAAAAAAAAACGAAUCUAGAACUUGUCGCUCUUGUGAACGAAUAAACAAAGCAAAACAUGCUAGGCAGAGGCAGCACCACACGCACUCACACCAACCAGACACGGUGUGGAGGAGAGUCAUUUCGCCCACGGCUCUCGCGGGGCCCCCCCGUCGUGAAAUGCGAGCGAGAAAAGGGAGAAAAAAGUUGCUCUAGUACUGCACCACACAUACACAUAAAAAACACACACGCGCUAGUGAUACUACCCCUUAAUAACUAAACUACUACGAUUAAUUGAUUCUCGCGCCGAUUUUGUGCUUAUUCGUGCGCGUGCGCGCGCGCGCGUUCACAGACAAAUAGACACAGUUUCACCAGCAGCAGCAGAAAAUUAUGAUGAAAAAAAAGAAGAUUAAAAGCAUAUAAAAACACAAAACAGAAAAAAAACACACAGAUACUAACUAGAGGGAAACUAAUAUAGUGAGUUGUUUCAGGAGCAUGAGGUUAGCAUGAUUGUCAGGAGUGAACGAAGAAAGCGCGCGCGAGUUGAUUCGACUAUUUGCAUAUAUAUUAUAUAUAAAACAUUAUAACAAAAAAAACUAGAAGAAAGUACUAGAACACACAAACACACUCACAGUUACACGCAAAAAGCAGAUGGAAUAACCGGAAACAGAGGGCGCAUCCUGAAGGUGAGUAACGAUGAUCUGUGCUGUUCAAAAGUAGCUAGUUUUUAUUCAAAGAGUGAUGGUUUGGAGCUGGGGGUGAAUCAAAAACCCCCCGGGAAAGGGUGGGCGAGAGAAGGGCGUUGAGCCGGGCUUGUGGGGAGGGCGAUUAUUUUUUUUAGAAAAAUAUUUUCCGUGCGAGCGAUUCUAAAUGUAGCAGCUGAUUGUCUGUGAAAACUUUGUAAAAACAAUUUAUUUUUUGUGAUUUUAUGUAGUCUUGGUUUAUGUCAAUUAAAAAUUUACCGAAAAAUUGGUUUGAUUUCCAAAAACAAGUUUAAAAUUGAGAGAUCUUCACAUUGGCUAGGCCGGCGCCGUUGGUGGUCUCCGCCAGCGCGGCUCAAUCUUCUCUUGCGGUAGGUGCUAUUUAUUAACAGAUGUUUUGAGGAUGAAUGGACAGCGCGCUAGCUGCGGAAACUCUGUUUCGCGUAAUGUAAUCAAAAAUCAAUAGCUACUAAGCGAAAAAAAGUCUUUUCAUUUCAAGCCUGUCAAAAUUCAACCAGAUUUGCGCAGUGUUGUACUAGAUUCCAGAAUAUUGACUACUGCUUAACAAGCGGCAAACACUGACUAAAAAAGGAAACUAUUGAAAUUAAAGCAAAAUAUAUCAUUAUAUAUUCAAUGUUGAUACAUUUAAAAACAAACACACACACAGACACACAAAACACAACUAUCCAAUUGAUUGACUAUUAUUAUAACCAUUAAAUUACUACCAAUUGUGCAAGCGCGCCCUUAUUACUUCUGGCUUUGUUUUAGUCUUGAGGUAAUCGAAAAAAUAAAAUUAAAAAAUAAAUUACUGAAAUCAGUCAGAAUUCAGUUUAGUUUGACUUGUUUCAAACUUUCCCCUCGGCGCAGUGCAUUGUGUCGCUGGGACGUUAAAAUGCGAAAAUAAUAGAAUUGUUUAAAUUGAAGAAAAAAAAACCUAGUAUUCUAAUCUGUUAAAUUAUGUAUAAAAUAAACACUGAAAAAAAAUUGCUGACGCAAAAAUGAACCAUUAAAUAGGUGUAAUUUAAUGAUUAAUCUAUACACAAACACACACACACACUAACACACGAACACUGAAAACACUUUGACACGAAGAGGUAAGCUAGCGAGAAGAUGAAAAUCACGAUUUAAAAGAGUCAUUAAAAUUCAAGAAAAAUCAAAUAUCCCUUUUUGCUAAUAAAAAAAAGAAAACAGAGAAAAGUGCAUCAAAAAAGGCAAAACCUACUAUUAAUCUUAAAUUAUAUCAACUUUUUUUUUGCGUACGAUUUUCGUAUUGUUUUCUCUCAAAACAAAAGCAAAACAAAAAAAUAAACAUUUCCUUUCGAUUCCUUCCUUCUUGUUGGAUGCAAACUUGCGUGCAAGGUUCGCGCGCGCGCGCGUGGUACUAGAUUGUUUUUUGUUUACGUUUUUUUGCUGAUGAAACUUGUUACGGUAGUAGAACGUAUCUGUAUCUAAAAAAAAUAUAAUAAAUCGAUUUGUCAAAUCCAGUAUUUACUCCACACACAAACACACAUUUUGAUCGCGAGUUAAAAAGCUAAAGUAAAAUCAGGUUGUCUAAAACAAAAGUUACACAAAUACAGAGAUCGCAAUCCGGCAAACAAUAAUUUGAGCUUGUGGAAUACGUAACAAAAUAAAAAGAUUCGAUGCAAUCGAAAAAGAGAGAGAAAAUCGUUAGAUGGCAAUGAUAAGGAAGGGAUUGAAAUGUUGAGAUGAGAAAGGAAAACAAACAAACACAUAUUUAAAGAAGAUGAAGAAAAAAACAAAACAAACAAUGCUAGAAGACAGUGAAAAUAUGGCAGGAUGAUGACGAUAAGAGUGUAGACUGGAAUGAUUAUUGAAUACGAUGAUGAUGACGCAUCUGUGUAGAUGAUAGUAGGUAUGAAGUAAUGAAAGCUGAGAAGAAAACAAAGAUGAUAAAGUGAACAGAAAAGAAGAUUAAUAACUCUAUUAAUGCUUGUAAUAAAUGCUUUAUAUAUAAAAUAUAUAAAAUCAAUAAAAAUAUUUAAACGAAA
rnacentral:misc_RNA from 1 species